GGGCAACUCACAAAUUCAAUUUCAAAUUAGCUGACGAAGAGAAGGGAGCUUGUUCUCUUGAGUCUCGAGAAUAAUUUCAUGCAACAAAAAAGGUGGUAAUUAAGGACCAUGGUAAUGGAGAUUGGAAGUAAGCAAAAUCUAGUAUAUGUUACAGGAGUAUGAUGGCUCAACGUAUUUGCAACCUGGGUUGGAAAAUGAUAGAUUGGCAAUAACAAGAUCAAAGGGAGAUAUGAUUAACGUUAGAUGGUCGAGAUAAUGGCCAUAUUACUGGCUGAAGAUGAGACAGUUUAUACUAUGACAGGUGUUCAUAUUCAAAAAAGGCGAAUCAUAACUAUGGUUGAUUUUAUACGAAAAUGCCUCAAAUGUCUACACCAGUGUAGUUUUAUAAUCUACAUUUUAUUUGGUGAAACACAGGGCGAUU